AUGAAGAAAGAGAAAAAUAAUCGUCUCUUUCUCAAACACUCCCGUGAGGGGGAAAAACCGCCCGCUCUAAAGUGCCCCUCCCCCCACCGCCGCUGCCAGGGAAGGCAAAGCGCCUGCGCAGAGCAAGGCGCCCAACGGCAGGGUGGGGGAACCCCCUGCUUUUGCGCCUGCGCAGGGACACUAAAGACGUUCUCCGAGGAGGAGGAAGCGUCUAGGGUGGGGGAGGGGAAUCUGGUGUUCGCGGAGGGGGGUGCCUUUCAUCGGCCGUUAAGCCAUAAAAACAAAAAAGCAAAGAGCGAGAAGGUGAUUGAUCAUCGAAAGUUGGCUGGUUUUUUUUUAAGUUGGGUUCUCCCUGAGGAGGCGUCCUCGCCGUUCUUCCUUCCCGCCCUUCCCCCCCCUUUUUUGGCGGGUAAAAGUGGAGGCAGGAGGAAAGGGGAGGAGGAAGGCGGCGGCCGCCAUCUUCUCCUUCACAGUCCUUUUCCCUUUGAAGCCAAAGUCUCCAGGGGCUCACAGGAAAUCUCUCACACCACACAUUUUACUAAACGUUGGAAAAGCUCCUUAAGGCUACCCGUUCCUGGGUGGGAAUUGGCCUCAGGGCGAGUGCAAGGAGGAAGAAGAGGAGGUCACAGACAUGAGAAAGAGAAUCUCAAGGAGCCACUUGUUCUGCCACUGACAAGAAUUAGGUGUGGAGCAGGAAACAAAGCACUUAGACACCCAAAAGGCAGAAAAGAAGCCAGCCAAUGACAGAGGAAAAAACAUCCAGCCUCUCAGGAUCUUGAUGUUUGAGAAUUCCUGACCAUAUGAAAAAAAAGGAGUGAGUUUCCCAUCAGCAGAAAUACAUUCACACAUAUCUUAGAGUUGAAGAAAAAGAAGAGACCGCU
rnacentral:lncRNA from 1 species